rnacentral:misc_RNA from 1 species
CUGACCAGGAAACAGGGAGCCAAGCAGGAGCAGCAAUCCCUUUACCCGACAUGGUGCUCCCAAAUUCUUUUGACGGGGACAACCCAACUUACAGAUACCGGUAUCUAGAACCUUCGUCUCAACUUCUUGCAAGGCCUGUUAUGGACUCCCAGAGCUGGGACCAUGAUUGUGGAUAUGAUGGUGUGAGCAUUGAGGAUCACCUUGCCAUUGCUGGCCAGUUUCCUGCAGUAAUAGUUCUUCAGCUCACAAAGGACAAGAAAGAGUUCAACAUCCACUUGGAUUCAUCUGUUUCAGCAAAGACGGG